AGUGAACGCUGGCGGUAGGCCUAACACAUGCAAGUCGAACGGCAGCACAGUAAGAGCUUGCUCUUACGGGUGGCGAGUGGCGGACGGGUGAGGAAUACAUCGGAAUCUACUUUUUCGUGGGGGAUAACGUAGGGAAACUUACGCUAAUACCGCAUACGACCUACGGGUGAAAGCAGGGGAUCUUCUGACCUUGCGCGAUUGAAUGAGCCGAUGUCGGAUUAGCUAGUUGGCGGGGUAAAGGCCCACCAAGGCGACGAUCCGUAGCUGGUCUGAGAGGAUGAUCAGCCACACUGGAACUGAGACACGGUCCAGACUCCUACGGGAGGCAGCAGUGGGGAAUAUUGGACAAUGGGCGCAAGCCUGAUACAGCCAUACCGCGUGGGUGAAGAAGGCCUUCGGGUUGUAAAGCCCUUUUGUUGGGAAAGAAAAGCAGCAGGUUAAUACCCCGCUGUUCUGACGGUACCCAAAGAAUAAGCACCGGCUAACUUCGUG
rnacentral:rRNA from 1 species